rnacentral:rRNA from 1 species
UUUUAGAAAUAAAUAUAAAGUCUAACCUGCCCACUGAUAAUUUAAAUGGCCGCAGUAUUUUAACUGUGCAAAGGUAGCAUAAUCAUUAGUCUUUUAAUUGAAGGCUGGAAUGAAUGGUUGAAUGAGAUAUAAACUGUUUCAUAAAAAUUUAUAAUAAAAUUUUAUUUUUUAGUUAAAAAGCUAAAAUUUAAUUAAAAGACGAGAAGACCCUAUAAAUCUUUAUAUUUUAGUAAUUUUAAUUAUUUAGAUAAAUUGAAUUAUAAUUAUUAUAAAUAUUUUAUUGGGGUGAUAUUAAAAUUUAAUAAACUUUUAAUUUUUAAUAAACAUAAAUUAAUGAAUUAUUGAUCCAUAAAUUAUGAUUAUAAAAUUAAGUUACUUUAGGGAUAACAGCGUAAUUUUUUUAGAGAGUUCAUAUUGAUAAAAA